rnacentral:rRNA from 1 species
CACGUAGGGUGCGAGCGUUGUCCGGAAUUAUUGGGCGUAAAGAGCUCGUAGGCGGUGUGUCGCGUCGGCCGUGAAAACCUGCAGCUUAACUGUGGGCUUGCGGUCGAUACGGGCAUCACUGGAGUUCGGCAGGGGAGACUGGAAUUCCUGGUGUAGCGGUGAAAUGCGCAGAUAUCAGGAGGAACACCGGUGGCGAAGGCGGCCAUCUGGACGACAACUGACGCUGAGGCGCGAAAGCGUGGGGAUCAAACAGG